rnacentral:rRNA from 1 species
AGAGUUUGAUCCUGGCUCAGAUUGAACGCUGGCGGCAGGCUUAACACAUGCAAGUCGAGCGGAGUGAUUGUGCUUGCACAAUCACUUAGCGGCGGACGGGUGAGUAAUGCUUAGGAAUMUGCCAUUUAGUGGGGGACAACAUUCCGAAAGGAAUGCUAAUACCGCAUACGUCCUACGGGAGAAAGCAGGGGAUCUUCGGACCUUGCGCUAAAUGAUGAGCCUAAGUCGGAUUAGCUAGUUGGUGGGGUAAAGGCCUACCAAGGCGACGAUCUGUAGCGGGUCUGAGAGGAUGAUCCGCCACACUGGGACUGAGACACGGCCCAGACUCCUACGGGAGGCAGCAGUGGGGAAUAUUGGACAAUGGGCGGAAGCCUGAUCCAGCCAUGCCGCGUGUGUGAAGAAGGCCUUUUGGUUGUAAAGCACUUUAAGCGAGGAGGAGGCUACCUAGAUUAAUACUCUAGGAUAGUGGACGUACUCGCAGAAUA